ACUCCUACGGGAGGCAGCAGCUAAGAAUAUUCCGCAAUGGACGAAAGUCUGACGGAGCGACGCCGCGUGGAUGACGAAGGCCGAAAGGUUGUAAAAUCCUUUUGUUGGGGAAGAAUAAGCGUGGCAGGUAAUGGCCGCGUGAUGACAUGAACCGACGAAUAAGCCCCGGCUAACUACGUGCCAGCAGCCGCGGUAAU
rnacentral:rRNA from 1 species